AUUGAACGCUGGCGGCAUGCCUUACACAUGCAAGUCGAACGGCAGCGCGGACUUCGGUCUGGCGGCGAGUGGCGAACGGGUGAGUAAUGUAUCGGAACGUACCAUUCAGUGGGGGAUAACGCAGCGAAAGUUGCGCUAAUACCGCAUAUUCUGUGCGCAGGAAAGCAGGGGAUCGCAAGACCUUGCGCUGAUUGAGCGGCCGAUAUCAGAUUAGCUAGUUGGUGAGGUAAGGGCUCACCAAGGCGACGAUCUGUAGCGGGUCUGAGAGGAUGAUCCGCCACACUGGAACUGAGACACGGUCCAGACUCCUACGGGAGCAGCAGUGGGGAAUUUUGGACAAUGGGCGCAAGCCUGAUCCAGCCAUGCCGCGUGAGUGAAGAAGGCC
rnacentral:rRNA from 1 species